UGAGGAAUAUUGGACAAUGGGCGCAAGCCUGAUCCAGCCAUGCCGCGUGCAGGAAGAAGCAUCUAUGGUGUGUAAACUGCUUUUGUACGGGAAGAAACACUCCUUCGUGGAGGAGCUUGACGGUACCGUAAGAAUAAGGAUCGGCUAACUCCGUGCCAGCAGCCGCGGUAAUACGGAGGAUCCAAGCGGUAUCCGGAAUCAUUGGGUUUAAAGGGUCCGUAGGCGGUUUAGUAAGUCAGUGGUGAAAGCCCAUCGCUCAACGAUGGAACGGCCAUUGAUACUGCUAGACUUGAAUUACAAGGAAGUAACUAGAAUAUGUAGUGUAGCGGUGAAAUGCUUAGAUAUUACAUGGAAUACCAAUUGCGAAGGCAGGUUACUACUUGUGGAUUGACGCUGAUGGACGAAAGCGUGGGGAGCGAACA
rnacentral:rRNA from 1 species